CUUACGUAUUAGUUUUAACAUUCCGGAGGGGAAGAAAUUGAAUCAAAUGUCGCACGGCCGAAACCAGUGGGUUUCCUCUGUUUUUCUCGGCAGGAGCAGAACCUUUAUUAAAAUUUCAGUCAACCCCUUUAGCUUUUAAAUAUUAUGUUUCGGCCCAAUCAAUAAUCAUAAAUCGUAUUUAUUAGAACUGAUAAAAUUGUCAUAAUGCUUUGACUAGCUAGUAUUGAAUUAGUAUGAAGUUUACAAUGCAUAGAAAUAAGGAAUUAGAAAUAAUAAUAUUAUUAGUACAGCCACGACUAUAUUUUAUACCGCCACGACAAUUUAUGUUGGGUGAAUACUAUACCUUCAAGAUCUUCUUGACUCUUUGAUUACCAUUGUUUCACUUAAUUAAUUAAUACAGACCCACUUGCCGUUUCACUCUCCUCUCUCUCCACUGCAAUUGAAGAGGUGGCAAAUCUAAGGGUGAAAGGAUUUGCAUAUUCCGACGAAAUACUCAAAAACUUGACAAGAACGACUUUCUCAAGUCUAUCAACACUAGCGGAUGGAUCCCGCUGUGACCCCGAUAAUCAUUACUUCAAUAACAGUUGUUGGAAAAAUCAUUACUGAAGGUGUUGAAGCCUAUGUGACAGGUCCAUUAUAUAUUUCAAUUACUCUAGGUUUUAUUUUAUUUUUAGCAAAUUAUUCAAUCACGGAAAAGCAUCUUAUUUUUUAGUAUUAUAGCGAUUUCGUGGAUAAUUUUUCAAAAUUUUCUGUACUAAUUCAAUGAGUUAUUUAAAUGGUGUGAAACAAUUCAAAAAAUUUAUUAUCCAAGGUAUGACCCUAAAAUUUCAGGACAAUUAUUUUGGGGUGGGGAGAGUACGUAUAAUGUCACACUAAAAUUCACUAUGCCACACCAAAUGUAGUGUAUAAAAACAAGUAGGAUAUUGAGACUGGAAGAGGAAUGUGAAUGGUAAUUCCUAACUAAGCCCAACUAAACAUGGAAAUGGAAAACAAUCUAUUGCAACCUGCACAUUCUAUUCUUGUGUCUGUUCCAUUCUAAAGAACCAAAUGCACCAUCCAAAGAAUUAGCCUAAUCUACAAAUUCUUAACCAAAUACUUGUUGCUUUUUCUUGUGAUUUCAGCUGAAUAAGAACAUUCAUUGAUUAAAAUAGUCUGAAUAAUAACAUAAUGUUUCAAAACACGGAGAAAUCCCAUCAUACAAAAUAGAAAUCCAGCAAUAUCCAUACCCAGUGCAGUCUUGUUUCUCUUAGAAGAUUUGGUAUUAGAGAUCUACAAUGCUUUCACCUACGACCACAAUCCACUUACACAAACAAGACAAUGGAGAACAAUGAAAUCCACAUCGACAGCAUAGUAUAUACAAGUCAGCUUUAAGGGUUGGCAUGAUCACAGAAAACAUAUACAAAACGAACUUGAGAAGACAUAAAAAAACUACAUUCCGAAUCAAGUUUAGGUACCAGAAAUCCAAAACGUGUUUUCAUCUUUAUGCAGAAGCUCAUCAAUUUGCCAACACUUAGUCUUUUUCAAGAAGGUUGGAAUUUUACCAGUUGAAGCCGGAAUAAACACCUGCUACAUGCUUCUUGCAUCAACAAACAAAGGUGCAAUUGGGCAUGCAAACCCCCAACCUUGUUAGAGAGCUAUAUCAAGGAAACAUGAAAGAGUGUUAGUUCUAGGAAGCUCUCUAUCUUCCUCUAGGAAGGAUCAUAGGAGACUACUUGAAAAAGACAGGUUGACUUCUACUUGAUAAUAGCCACAGAAAGACAAAA